rnacentral:lncRNA from 1 species
UGCAGGUUUGUGGGGAUGACACAUAUUUGGAGGUACAGCUCCUGCUUGCAUGCGCAAAAAGUUCAUGAUUUGCAUCUCUAAUAUAACAUGGUAAGUCUUUUUCAUUCUUGAUGUCUCCAUUACGCUAUGUUCAAUUUCAUGAAUGGGAGGAAUUCCGGUAUGAAUUCACAUGAUGUUCAAACACAUAAAUGCCUGAUAUGCUGAAUUGCUAACAUACUGAAAAAUGCUACAGCUUGAUGACUAUGUAGUAAAGUUCAUUCAGAACUUAGUUCUGGCGACAUGGGUCUUGGGGAGUAUAUUGGGUUCCAAUACAAUUGAGCAUGAUUUAUUGGCAGUAUACUACAAAACUACAUUAUUCCCAGGUCAAGCAUUACAUUUGGGCAUAACUUUACAUGCAAUGCAAGUCAGCAAAACAGAUGAGACUUUUUUUCUUACUCCAGAACCACUUAAUUUUUCUCUACUAAUUUCCCCUUUGGAUCUUUGUAGGAGAUAAUGGCACAUCGAUUUGAUGUUUUUAGUUGUACUGUUUAUAUUUUAUUUUCCAAGAAAUACUCAAAAGUAUUGGUGGUAUGACAGUUGAGUACAUUUGUUGAUCUUUUAUUAUGAGCACAUGUUUUUCCCUAUCUAAUAUUAGGACUACGCAUCGUUGUGAUCCGUGUGAUAUGGGGCUUAAUGAUUUGAGAGUCGUUGUCCCAAAAUUAUUCUAAAUGGUUGGUGGGUUUUUAUGUAUCCAUCAGCAGCUUUAGUUUUUGUGAACAUAUUUGUCUAACAGUUGAGUACAUUUACCAGCAAUAUAGAAAUGAAAAUUUCUAAUGACCCAUAUGAUUGCUUUCACUAGCGAGCUCAGGUGUCAGUUCAGAGAGCAACUUCAAUGUUCUCUAAUAUCUGAUUGACCCACAGAGAAUUUUUAUUGAUGUUCUAGUACUGCAUACUAAUGUAUUUUCAAUGCAUAUUUUAUAGCUUAGGGUGUGAAAUAUUCAUUUUGUGCAGCUUGCAAUCAUCAACUAUUUAACUCUGGUGAAAUUUAUGGUGUUGUGGAACGAUUGAAGUUAGUACAAAGUCGAGACACUUAUAUUGAGAUGGAGGGAUUAUAAGUUUACUUACAGUUGAACUGAACCUCUAAUGUAGAAAGCAGAUGGUGGUCAAGAAUCGGAAAAUGCUCAUGCUUGAAAUAGCAAUGUGACCAAGCAAGGUGGUACUGAAUCAAGUGUAUAACUUCCUGUGUCACUAAGCACAUCAAGAAAAUACAUUUGUAGGCAGUAUGUUUGGCGAAGUAUCUUGGUUUUUUAGGUAAAAAAGCCAAAGCUGACCACUCCAACACAACCUAAGACAUUGGUGCUCCAAGACAACCUCAAGACAUUUCUAUGGUACUUCUCUCAUAGUUUUAUCAAAGAACAUUUCAUCUUGUACUAAUCCAAGAGCUUAUGUUCUAAGCUUCUCUUUGUUAAAAAAUUUCUUCCAGGCUAGCUGAGAGUUUAGAAUUGGAACACAUUGCAGGAGCAAGCAGCAACUACGCAAGAAUUAGUCUUUAAAUGAACACAUAUUAUGUAUAAUGUAUGGAAAGCUUAGUUCUACUUUGUAGUAUAUAUAUUC